UUCGAACUUAACCUGAGAAUUGGAAUUCCUCGUGGAUUAAAAUUUUUUUUUUGGAAAUCCGUCGAAAACUACUCGAGUUAUCGUGGCAUCAAGCGACGAGACAAAAAUUCUUUCGGGAAUAUCUUUAAGAUCGUCAAUCCUUCAUAGCCCAUCUUCGAACUUAACCUGAGGAAUUUAAUUCCUCGUCGAU